CAUUUAGAUGUAAGUUUGUUCAAUGACACAUACUCAUUUGCAACACAAAGCAAAGUCAUCGAGGUGAACAAGAAAAAAAACAUCACCUGGCAAAGUGACAAAGAUCACAAAUUUGGCAGUGAUGUCUACCCUAAAUACUUCCAGCAGGGAGGUCUCAUAUGAGGUGCCAAGCUUUGAGCGAGCAAGAAUAUCUCAUUGUUUGGAUGAGGACAGCUGCCUUGCCAUAGUUUAGAAAACUCUAUGGGAGAAUUGAGAGAGACCUCACAACCAAUGAACAAAUCUCAAUGACAAUAGAGAACAACUACAACACUUACAAUUUUGAAGGGGAGAAGAGGACCCUUGGAGAUCCAUCGU